UUGCUUAGUGUGUUUAAUAAAUAAAUAAAGUGGCUAUGCUAAUCUGAAUCUUAAUAAUAAAACUCAAGCAUGGAUAUGAUGAAUAGUUGCUCUGCCUAAUCUUUAAAUUUGAAAUUCUUUCUCAAGUUUAGACAUAACCGUUAUAAUUUAAAACUUGCUCUAAAUUUGAACUUGUGGGAUGAAAACUUGAUCUGAAGUCUAAGUUGUUAACGGAUAUGAUAUGGGAAGGUUGAGCUGCUGUUUAUUUGUUCUUAGAGAUGCUAGAAUUCUGGAGAAUUUUAUCUUUGAAAAUCUUUAAAAUAUUACAUGAUGAGUUCCUGUAUGAUGAGAGUUUAAAUUCCUAUCACAGCCAUAUAUACAUGCUUGCUAGACUUUGAGCCGCAUAUUUACUAUUUACUGCUUAUGAGCAUUGAGUGUGGUCAAGCUGUGUAGACCCUUAGGAGCUUGUCAUGUGGUUAAAUCGAGAUUCACUUGCACGUUCACUCACAUAUGCUGCUUCUACUCCGGAAGUACCAUCCACAUAUAUCCAUUCAUUUCCAUUUCCAGAAUCACCUAAAAAUAUUUUACUUCUGAUCCAGGAGAGAAUAGCCAAAAACAUUUUUGUUUUUCCCCUGUGAAAUAAAUGCUCGAGUUAUCUUGUUACUACCACUUGCUAUAUUAUCUCAAGAGAUGAGUGCUCUAAAAAAAAGAAAAAAAGAAAAAAGUAUACGAGGAAGUAAAAAGGGGCAAGUGCCCGGAACCUCGAAAGAAAAGAAAAAGUGAGACGAGAGGUAAAAAUGGACAAGUGUCCGAUAGUAGAAUUAGGGGUACAAGAUACCCACCUGAGAGAAAAGAAAAAGAAGAGCAUCUCAUUCUCCUCAUAAAGUUUCAAAAAGCAAGGAAGGUAUGUAUUCCCUCAAAAGAGCAAAAGUAGAAUUAGACUUUCACCAUUGUUAUCACCAUCAUCACUGUUGACGGUCCUUAAGUAUCAAAUUUAAUUAUCAAAUAAACAAAGAAAAGGAUCCAAAUGAAAUCAACAUCUAGACUUAGGGUUUUAUCUGACAGAAUUCCAUGAGUUUUGGUGUUUGUCUAUUUCUGCAGGGGGUUAUCAGGAAAUACGGAAGAAAGGCCCACACGUCGGGAUUACAUAGAGAUAUUAACAAGCCGCGCUAUUAUUUACAUCUAGAAGACUCCAGAAGCCAUGAGACCGAAGCGGAGGCAAAACGUGGCCAGAGGCAGGGCGCCCGCCCUGUUCCCCUAGGCGCCUGCCCUCUCUUAGAGUCCAAUCAGGACUCUGUUUCUCGGGAGAUCUCCACCGACCUAAAGGAUCAAGGAUAACCGUCCAAUCUAUGUCGGUUUGAUCCAACGGCCCAUAUUCACUUGAAGGGACUAAAAAACCAGACCCCCUGGUCCCUGGAGGAGAGAGCCUCUCAACCCUAAUUCAUUAUUCCUCAAGGGAGAAGAAGCCUCUGAUCAAGAUUAGAGCCACCACAUCAGUUAGACAUCUAGAUUAGCAUAGCUACAUAGGAUUAGAACUAGAAGGAGUCAAUCUUCGAUUGGUUUCCGGAUCUAUCAAGAGGAUUCUUAGUAAUUCUCUAAUUGUGCUUCUAAUUAUUCUUAUAAUUAUCUUUGUUCUUCAAUAUUAUGAAUAUGAGUUUGUUCUACUUCAAUAUAUUGCUUAUGACUUUGCUCAACUUGCUUAUAUUCAAGAUUUUAUUGUUCUUAGUUUAUCAUAGUUAUGUACUUGGCUUAGUUAGAUUGGAUCUAUAUACAUGCUUAGGAUCGUAUAGCGUUUAUCCAUCGGAUCCAUGGGUAAAUGAUAGAUAUUAUGUAGGCGUGGUGCUUAUACCGUAUUUAUCUGCUAUUGUAUCCAAUAUGCCAGAUCGUGGGGUAGUUCAUGAUAGUGACAGCUUCAUUGAAAUUCGUGUAUUGGGCUGGCAGAGCAACAUUAUUACAGGGGAGUGAUUGCUAUGUUUCUCAUUUACCUUGCUAAUAUCAGUAUGCAUGGGCGUAGUCUUGUCUUGCAAUGAUUGCUAAGUAUGUUUGCACUAAUUAUGAUAAUGCUAGACUAUAUAGUUGAGAAUAACUUAGGGAAUAUUCUUGUAGUUCGUUCUAAUACCAUGCUAAUGACUUUCUAGAGUAACUAAUUGAGGUGCUUAUAAUAUUUAUAUGUGGCUGAUCAGAUUAAUUAUCUUUGUCAAUAUUCAUUAUUUCAUAUAUCUUUUAUGUGACACUUAUCCCUGUAUGAAAGAGUUAGAUAAUUGUUCUCAAUUAUACAUGCAAUGAUAGAUACUCAAUCUCAUAUUCUAUUCUGUAAUCAAUAUUGAUGAUUGCUAAUCCCUUCCGAGUUGUAAAAAUAUAAAUAACAAUACCUGUAAUACUUUCCGGUUAAAAUGCUACAUCGGUAUUAAUCUGUGCGCUUGCAAAUCCCAUUCAUUAUUUAUUUAGAAGAGCAAUUGCAUAUUUCAAUACCGCGUCUCUCAUGUCAUGCUGGGGAUGACAACUUGGCUUAAGUGGUGUGAGGGAUAGGUUUGGCAUUUUUGGCACCGUUACUAGAAUUAGAAAACUAAGUCUACUUUUGGUAAUGAUGUUAAGAAUACCCAACAAGCAUUUUUGGCGUUGUUGCCGUGGAAGGUUGAUUACUAAUCAGAAAUGGAAUAAAAGAUUUUGAGUUAUCAUUCGCAUCACUAAUAUGAUUGAGCUUAUCUAUUCUCUCAUACAGUUUUACCCCGAUAUUUUUCCAUUUUUAUCUUAUGCAGGGGAAUGUAUGAAUAGAAGACAUCUUCUAGGAAAUUUUGUUGACAAUCCUGAAGCAUUAUUCAAGAAGACAAGAGCCACGCUCAAGAAGAGAUCAUCAACACUUCAGCAAGAAGCUUCAUCCAAUCAAGAAGAUCACCAGAACUUAUCUUCAGAGUUCGAAGCCAUGGCGAACAAAUCAAUUCGCGAGUUCUCAGCUCCCACUACGGACAUCAUCCGCACUGGACCUGCUGCAGAAAUCGAUGGCAACUUUGAGCUCAAGCCUGGACUUAUCAACAUGGUGCAAUCUAACCAGUUCUGUGGGAAGGCACAUGAAGAUGCUAGUGCUCAUCUACAACACUUCCUGGAGAUUUGCAACACAUUUACCAUAUCAGGAGUCCCCGGAGAUGCUAUACUACUUCGCCUCUUCCCAUUCAAACUGUUAAAAAGAGCGAAGCAGUGGUUCUAUGCUACAAAGGAGAAGAAUACUACGUGGGCACUCUGCUCAACAAACUUCCUGGCUAAGUUCUUUCCCAUGGGCAAGACCAAUGCUCUCCGUGGGAAGAUUACAAAUUUUCAGCAACAAAAUGAUGAAUCUGUAAGCAUGGGAGCGCUUUCAAGAUUACAUCCUAGAAUGUCCCCAUCAUGGAAUGGAGAGCUGGCUAUUGAUGCAGACGUUUUAUCAUGAGCUCGGCAACAGUGCCCGAGAAACCAUGGAUGUUGUAGCUGGAGGAGCAUUCUUAUCACUUACUAUACCACAAGCCACAGCUCUUGUGGAGAAGAUGGCGUCCAAUCAAAGCUGGAAUGAAGAGAGGACCCAUACACGCAAGAAAGGUAGAGGUAUGCAUCAGCUCAAGGAGGUAGACAUGUUGUCUGCAAAGCUAGACCUGCUCAUGAAGAAGCUCGAUGAUAAAGCUGGAGAUAAGAAGGAAGUUAUGCACAUCUACGACUCUCACAUGACUUGUGAGGAGUGUGGAGACACUGGACACUCAGGCAACCACUGUCCUGAGAUACUUGAGGAUGUGAACUACAUCAACAACAACAACAACUACUACUACAACCGUCCUCAAUAAAUUCAAGGUUGGAAUCAACAGAGGCCUAACUACUUAGGUAAUUAUCAAGGUAACAAUUCUUACAACAAUAAUAAUAAUUUUUUUCGACCUUUGAGAGAGUUAGUGUCUAAUCAAGGAAAGCUAAUGGAUAGACUAUCUAAGAAAUUGGCAUCUAAUGAUAAAAUGCUAGAAAAUAUAAAUAAUAGAAUGGAUAAUUUGUCUACUGCCAUCAAGAAUCAAAUUAGCUUUAAUAAAAUGAUUGAUUCUCAGUUAAAUCAAAUAGCUGCUAAUAUUCCUACUACUAACCCCGGUAUACCAUCACAACCGGAAGAAUUAGAAUCUGCAAAUCUUGUAGACAUGUUUGAUGCAGGUAAUAAUUGGAGUAACCCCGUCACUGAAUUCACUACUGACCUUCUGCCGGUCAAGAGAGGCGAUCCAGGACGCCCCGUCAUCCCGAUCUCCAUUGGCAUGGUGGAUGUCCCAGAAGCACUCUGCGACUUUGGCUCCAGUGUCAACAUUAUACCCAGGGUACUCUAUGAAAAAUUCUUUACAUAUCCUUUAUUAGAGACAACCAUGUGUUUACAGUUUGCAGAUCACGCGAUAAGUUUUCCAAAAGGAAUAUUGAAGAACCUUUGUGUCCGAGUUGGUACCUUAUAUGCCCCAGCAGACUUCGUAGUGGUAGAGACCGGUAAUGAUGAAAGAGUGUUGACGGUCCUUAAGUACUAAAAUUAAUAAUCAAAUAAACAUGAAAAAGGAUCAAUAUAAAACAAACAUCUAGAAUUAGGGUUUUAUCUGACAGAAUUCCACGAGUUUUGGUGUUUAUCUAUUUCUGCAGGGGUUUAUCAGAGAAUAUGGAGAGAAGGCCCACAUGUCAUGUUUACAACGAGAUAAUUACGUGUCGUGCAAUUUUCCUCCAUCUAGAAGGAUCCAGAAGCCACGGGAACGAACGGGAGGCGAUUCGGGCUCGGGGGCAGGGCGCCCGCCCACCCCCCUUGGGCGCCCGCCCAGGGUUGGAGGCCAAACAGGACUCUGCUUCGGGACAACGCUCCAGUGACCUAAAGGAUCAAUCUAAACCAUACAAUCUAUGUCGGUUUGAUCCAAUGGCUCACGUUCACUUGAGGGGACUAUACAACCAGACCCCCUGUCCCCUGGAGGAGAGAGAAGAAAUCAUUAUUCAGAGGUAGCCAUCAAAGUUAGGGUUUAGAGCUUCUCUCCCACAGAGAAUUAGAAUUAGCUACUCCCUAAUCCUUCAAGUUUAGAGGUUGAUUAGAUAGCAAUUAGAGAAGUAGAGCACUACGCUCUGGAUUCGGAUCUUCGGUAAUAAAGAUUGGUAUUAUUCAUAUCUUUCUCUAAUUCUAUUGUUCUAAUUGCAUUAUGUCUCUAAUUAUUAUGCUCUUAGUUUGCUCUAGUUCUAUAUUUGAUAUAGUUCUAAUUGAUAAUGAGUUUAUGUAUAAGUUUGCAAAGCGCUUAGCUCUUGACGCGAGGGAGUUAGGUGAUAGAUCACAUGUGAGCGUGGUGCUUAGAUAUUAUUUAUCUGCAAAUGUAUCCUAUUGGCCGAGCCGUGUGGUAGUUCGCGAUAGUGACAGCUUUGUUGAUUCUUAUAUAGUCCACCCUCCGUUGAUAGGACAGGCAGAACCGGUAUUGUGGAGUAAGUCAUGCGAUGCUCUGAUUUACUUUAUCAAUGUUCCUUAUACAUGAAUGAAGAGUCUUUUAUGCUAUAUAUGAUCUUGUAGAUAACUAGAGUAGAUUAUGACUUAGUAGUUAGUAAAUAACUUAGAAUUCAUUCUCUAGCUAAUCCGACAUCACCUACAUAUAUGAGGAGUAGUCUAUUUUCUAAUCGUUGUGUCAUCUACCCAUGAACUUAUACUUUAUUAUCAUUAUCUUUAUGGUUUACCCCCUGCUAAAGUAAGUGACUGUGUGACGAGUUUCUCAUUAGUAAUCAUGUUCUUGCAAGUUUAUCUCUAGUCUAUGCCUUGUUAGAUUUUGCCCCCUUUUAUUUUAAUUUCAUUUCCUUAGAUCCCUUGAGCAAAAUUAUAAAUAACGAUACCUGGAAUACUUAUCCUGGUGAAAUGCUACAAUGAGGUGUUUUAUCUGUGCGCUUGCGGAUAGAAUAGAUUAUUUUCUAGACAGCCUUUACAUUUAUAAAUACCUUUGUACACUCUGGCGCCAUGCUAGGGAUGACAACCUAGUAUCUAAGUGGUGUUAGCUAGUGUCAACAAGUGUAACACCCUAAAAUUUAUUCCUUUUGAAAUAUAGAUAAAAUUAUUUAAUUUUGUAUUUUUGUGCUCAUGAAAAUAUAGGAAAAAUAAUAUUAAAUUAAAAUUUAUUAUAAGGCAUAGCAAUAUUAUUAUGCAUACAUGCUGGUGCAAAUGUUUUGAAGUGAUGCUUGUUGCUCCUUUAUGUGUUGAUAGUAAGAAAAAUAUUUAAAAUAUCGAUCUUCCUUAUUUGGCACGUAUUUAUCUUUUAUCUACAACCAAAUUCCUUGUUUCUAAGCUCAAAUUUUGAUUAGGACCUUCCUAAAAUCUUUUCUUUGUCACUCAAAGCACUUCUUUUAGUUCCUCGUCCAUCAAGCAAUCUCUACAAACUUUUCGGGAAUUUUUCCAUCUUCUAUUCUCACUUUUCUAUGAGCAUAAAUCUAAUUUUUAGAUGUCCCAAAUUAUCUUAUCAUGAGAUCCAAAUACGUUAUUUGAGUUCCUCAUAUUCCAUAAUGUCUCUGAGAAUUUUUUCCGAAUUUUCGGAGCUUUCGGAGUAUUUUUCGUGGCUAAACUACUAAUUCUAAACUUUUCUAGAAUUAUUUUAUCAAUGAAAAUAAUUAAUUCGAAAUUAAUAAAUCUCUUAUUAUUUUUCCAACGUCAAAGCCCAUAAUAAAUCCCAAAAACCAUAUAGUUAUUUACUAAUGGGCUUUAAUAAUUAAUUAGGCCUAUUAGUAAAGAUGAAUGUUGCAAAUCAAUUAGUACCAUAUCGCUAGUUGACGUGGAGGUGUGGAGUUUCUCUACAUAUAUAUAUGUACCAACCCCUUAGGCAAAGCACACCAAAAAAAAACUACCAGAUGAGAAGUCUCUAGUUUGGAAAUUUCUAAGGUAGUAAAAUUAUAUUUUCUCCUCCUCUCUAUAUCGCCAAUGGCCAAUCCCGAUGACUACUCAAGCGAUCGUUUUGCAGCUCUGAAGUUUACCUUGCCUGCCUCCGUCCGUCUCCAGCCAGGUCAUGCAGAAGUCGGAUCUUGAUCUUGGCUAGCACUAGGAUGCCUCUAUAUCUACUGAAUCUAGUCUUCCGUACAUGCUAUUCGUCAAUGCUCGAUCUCCGUUACCGUGAAUCUGCAACCUACUGAAAAUCCUAUGAAGGUACAUGUCCUAGGUACCAGACCUGAAUUUUGCUCUCUAACUUGCCCAGAUUGUCUUCUAGUCAUCACGUGCCUUUGAUUAACCUUUUCUCAACAGAAAAACUAGCUGCAUCUAUGCGUGACCUUACUGAUGAGCUGCUGGACUGCUCCCAAAACUCCAGAACCCGCCGUCAACUUCCUGGUGUCGAGAGCCAUCUAAUGCUUGGGACAAAAUCUGCCAUGGUCAUCAUUCGUUAUACACUAAGGUUUCUAUUGUUUCAUUAUCUUCGAUCCAUUCAAGUAACGUUGAUAGUGACAUAAUUUAUGUGUUAAUUAGAGUUAAUCGUGUGGUACGUUAGUAAAUUUUAUAAAUAACAUAUUUAUUUUAAUUAAUUUCUGUGCAAUUGGCUUUCGAAUUAUAAGAAUAUAAGCUUAACGUCUGUCUUCUACAUGUCAAAUGUUAUUUUGAUAAAAGGCAAUAUUAAUAUAUUUUAAAUUUGUAAUCCAGCCGACUGAGUUCAAAAUAUGUUUUCUGAUAUUUACAAAUUUGCCACUGAAACUGUUUUAGCCAUAAAAUCUUCGUUCUAAUUCCGUUUUGACCCAUUCAAAUUGUGUUAGGUUCAUAAUCAUGAGAUCUACAUGUUAGUAAAAUUAUUUUACUCAGUUGGAAACUUUUAAAUUUCGUGACUUUAAUUAAUUAAUUACUUUUCUAUAUAAAAUCAUAGAAAAUUCAUAUCUCCUUCGUUUUAAAUCCGAUUUUCGUGAUCUUUACGUCUGUGAGAUCGUAGCGAUGCGUAGAAUCAUUUUAUAAACUUUUUAUACUGUUUUUAUAUGAUUGGUGUACUGUUCUAAUUGUAGCUUUGUUUGCUCGUGUAUGCUUUCUUCGAUUGUUUGUGUGAUCGAUGAUCGAGUUUAGACGGAGAGCAGUUUUGGUGAUCAAGAUCAAAGCUUUGGCAACAAGUAAGACCAACAGAACCUAAAUGAUAAGCAAGAGCAUUUGGAUCAAGGCAAGUAUAGCAUUUGGAUUUUAUUUCUGUGACCAUGAUCGUGUGACUAGAUUAAUGUUAAGUAAUAAAUGAUAAAAAUGACUUUUUAGCCACUUGAUGAUUUAUCUGUAAGUGAUAACCGGGACAACAGUGCAACCAUGAGGGCUAUAAUGGCUCUGGCUUUAGCUCAGUAUGAAGACCUUUUCUAGCUUGUUAGAGGUUACCCGAAAGGGCGGAGGGGCUGAACCGUUUUGGGUAUAGUGUGGCCUCUGUCUGUAUGUGUAUAGGCUGCGAGUCAUUGUGCCAUCGGAAGGGGGGCUCUAUAUCUGCGCGCAAAGGAAACCUUGCGGCCCUAACAUGUUAGACGAACUUUUGAAAGGCUUCAUAGUGAUCCCUGCCGACCUUCCUUGGAAGUGGGUUAAGAGGCUGAUCACCUCGGGCGAAAGGGUAAAUCAUGACUCAUGGGUAAAGAUGUGCAACCUCUGCAGAGUGUUAAAACUAGUAUACUAGCCGUGCUCACGGUCAUGAGCGGCCUUGGGGAUUCUUGCAUCGACGAUGAUGAUUCUUGUGUGUUUUAUAUGUUCAUUAUUUAUUAUUUAAUGCUCUACAUUAUUUAUGUCACAUUGAUCAUGGGAUUGUGGGAUCUAUACAAUCUAGUUGCUAUACUUGUGGAGUUCGACAUGGACUCAUUCUUGCUAUUUCCCCAAACCUCAGGAGAAGUUUAGGCUUGUGAUCAACCAGUCAGUUGGAUCCUGUAGAGAGAAGUUAAUACCCGGAGUUUGGAGUUGUCUAUCCGUUGUUUGCUAUCAAAGGUUAUCUCUUUUAUAUUAUGUACGUUAUAUAACUUUUGCAUUGUCUUUUGAUAUUACCCCUUAUUUGUAGCUAUAUGUGAGAUUUGGCUUCUAAGACUCACAUAUGGUGCAUAUCUGGUUUUGUUCUUAAAAUCGGGUAUUACAACAAGCAUUUCUGGCGCCGUUGCCGGGGAAUCUUAUAGGAAUUAUACGAAUCUCAGGAAUAAGUCAUAAAAAGGAACAAAAGGGUAAUAUUAAGGAAAGCCAGAAAAUCAAUCAAGGUUAUUCAUAUAAAAUAUUAGACUAGACUAUAGAGAAAUAAUUGCAUAAAACAGCUACUAAGUGAGAAAUCAUAACAAGGCACCUCUGCUUUGGCAGGUUCACCCUGUUGUUUUUCUAUGUUUAUAUUUAUACAGGGUAUGACAGGAUUGACUUUGGGUACAUUCAACUCUUCAUCAUCAGAACCUUGCAAGAAGAAGAAGCUAGCUACCAAUUGCUGAAGCUAUGACACAAAAGACCUUGCAAGAAUUCUCUGCUCCAAGUCUUGAGAACAUUCCAACUGGUCCAAGAUUUGCAGUAGAAGAAGGAAUACCUGAGUUUGAGCUCAAGUCAAGCCUCAUCAAUUUGGUACAAGCUACACAAUUCAGUGGAAAGGCACAUGAAGAUGCCAGUGCACACUUGCAGAAUUUCUUAGAGAUUGGAAGCACAAUCCACAUCAAUGGAGUUGACAAAGACGUCAUACUGCUUCGCCUUUUUCCAUUCUCACUAGAAGGAAAAGCAAGGAAGUGGUUCUACACUCAUCAAGAUAACAUCAACAACUGGACGAACUUGUCAGAUGCCUUUCUAUCAAAGUUUUUCCCUAUAGGCAAAACAACUGCCUUAAGAGGAAAUAUUGUCAGUUUCCAACAGCAGAAGACAGAAGCCAUUUCAGAAGCAUGGGAGCGUUUUCAAGGAUACAUAUCAGAUUGUCCUCACCAUGGAAUGGCCACAUGGUUACUUAUGCAGACCUUCUACCAUGGAUUAACCCAGAAGGCUCGUGAGUGCCUAGAUGCAUCUGCUAACGGAUCAUUCUUGGAGCUUACAACUGGAAAAGCAGAGAUACUUUUAGAUAAGAUAGCAGAAAACCAAAGCUGGUUCCAAGAUAAAGCUCAACAAUGUCAUCAAACUGAAGAAAUACCAGAAGAAGUAAAUGCAUUAUCAACUAAGAUGGAAAAUUUGCUCCAUUGGAUUGACCAGAGGGCCAAGUUCAAAGAAGAUCAAAGGGCCAUUGAGACAGCAUAUAAAUAUCAACCAACUUCAAGUCAACCCAAUAGCAAAGGUAUGAAUUCAGGUAAUACUGUCAAGCAACUUUCAUUAAAAGAGAUAAUUGUUCAACAAACCAAAUUAAUGAUGAAGUUAAACAAAGGCUAGAUACAAAUGAAUCAUCUCUAAAAGAUAUACACAAUAAAAUGGAUUUUCUACUAACUGCCUUUGAUGAGCAAAACACUCUUAAUAAAAGGGUAGAGCUUAAAUUAAUAAAGUUAGCUGCUGCACUGCCUGUUGCUACUAACCUUGAGCAGGUAAAGAAUAUAACUACUAGAGGAGGUAAAGCCACCAGAGAUCCACCAUAUCCAAAAGAGAAACAAAGAACAUCAGCACCAGUGCAACCAGCAGUAAUAGAAGAAGAAAGCCCAGUUGAAGCAGAAGAUCUGCUACAACCACCAAGAACUGGAGAAAUGAGGAAAGAUUUUUACGACACCAACUAUUUGCCAUUUCCCAGAAGAAACAGAGGACUGCAGUCGGAUGAGCAGUUUGGUAAGUUUGUAGAGGUCAUUCAGAAAUUAUAUGUCAACAUACCUCUACUUGAUGCCAUACAAGUACCUACAUAUGCAAAGUACAUCAGAGAUAUUCUUAACAAGAAGAGGCCACUGCCCACCACUGAGGUUAUCAAGCUGACAGAAGAAUGUAGCGCGGCCAUCCUCAACAAACCACUAAAGAAAAAGGAAGAUCCAGGAUGCCCCACUAUUGAUUGCUCGAUCGGAAACCAACACUUCAACAAUGCACUUUGUGAUCUAGGAGCAAGUGUCAGUGUGAUGCCAGCAUCAGUCUACAAAAAGCUUGAGCAUGCAACCUUAGAACCAACAUCAAUGUGCUUGCAACUAGCGGAUCAAUCGGUUCGACACCCGCUGGGCAUCGCCGAGAACAUUCUAGUCAAGAUCAGAGAUUUCUUGGUGCCAGUAGACUUCGUAGUACUGGACAUGAGUCCUGACUCGAAAGUGUCCAUCAUCCUUGGAAGGCCAUUUCUGAGCACUACCAAUGCCCACAUUGAUGUCGGGAAGGGAGAAACCAAGUUUAACAUAAACGGACAAGAAGAACACUUCACAUUCAAACCCAGACCAGAGAGAGACUCUACAGUGAAGGAAGUUCAUGAAGAACCACUGGAGACACCAUCUCUGGAGGAAGGAAACUCAGAAGAUUAAAAGAUUUGGAGGUCCAGCUUGGGGGACCUAAAAAUCCCAAACCCUCACCGGGAGGUAAAUCGGUAUUUACCCACAUUAUUAAUUUUCUCAUAUUUAAAUUCUUGCAUAAUUAAUUCUUGCAUUAGUCAUAUACAUUCAUAGCAUAAUUAUAAUAAUCAAAAAGCCCCAUAUAAAUAAUAUUCGUGGUGUGUAACAACCCAUUUUUAUUAAUUAUUGUGGAGGCACAAAAAUAUUUCCCAUUAUCAUUUUAAUUAAGUUUCAAUUCUCAUAGAUUUUUCCUGCAUUAUAUUUAUUUAUAUUGAUCUUCUAGAAGCAUGACCCACACUCUUUGGGUCCCACAUGUCAUACACUUCACCUCACAUACAUCCCAUCACAUAAUUUCAUCCACCAAUAUGUUUCCACUCACUUGACAUCUUUCCACCGUCCAACCACCACAACACAAUAUUAUUCUGCGUGAGAUCAAAGCAAGGAAGCAUGUGGAGGAGGCACACCCAGGAUGGACACCAGGGGUGGGCGCCCGUCCACCUACCUUGGGCGCCCGCCCUGUCCCCUGCUCAGCCUAUAAAAGGCCACCUCCAGCUCCCCUUCUCUUCACACAAACACUCCAGAAAACCACACAAAUCUCAGUUUCCCGAGAAGGAGCUUUUGUAGUGAAGAGAAGAGAGUAGAGAGAAAGAGGAGAGUGGAAGGGAAGGUUGGGAGUUCUUUUGAGAGAGUGUUUGUCACCUAGCAAGUAGUGAUCCCGUUGUCUAAGCGGAAGUAAAAGUUGUUUAGGGGGAGGCUCUACCAAAAUAGAAAUUUGUCUUGAACGAUUAACCCCUGGACUACUGACACUCCGGACAGCUGACUACUAACAUUUUAUCUCACAUUUUCCACCAGUUGUGUUUUUGCCAACUUUUGUUUGCAGGAUGUUUAAGAAGGUGAAGAAUGCAGGGAAGGCUCUCAAGAGCCUUGGUACAAGGAGUUCAUCCCGACACUCCUCACAGCCAUCAGAGAUGAGCGUCGACCCGACACCCACACAAGCUCCGUCAUCUUCAUCAGGUCAGCAAAUUAAGGUCCUUCUCAAGAUAGGAGACCUUGGACUAAAGACCCGAAGAGAGAAGGAAGUCUAUCAGCAAUUGAAGAACAAAGAUUUCAUUCAUACCCCUACUCUCGAUCCAACCCUACUACAAGAAACAGGUAUGGACACUGAAUUCGAUUUAAUUUUUCAGAUGAUGGGUUGGACAAAUUUUUGGAAUAUAACUGAGCUGGGUUCUCGUCUUCUCACCCUCGAAUUUCUUUGCACCUUACAAUACUAUGAGGGGGGAAUUGUUUUUCGGAUGUUUAAACAGGAAAUUAUGUUAUCUUGGAGAGAGCUGAGCGACCAUCUUGGUUUCUCUUCAAGAUGCAUCCUAAACAUUGACUCCGAUUUACCCAAUUUUGAAAGACACCAGUUUUGGAGAGAAAUAUCUAGAGAUAAUUUUUACAGUCAAGCCCGAACCAGUGACAUGGAACACCCCACUCUUAGGAUGUUUCACAAAUGGCUUGGGUACAAUCUUUUCUAUCGUGAUGAUAUUAGGAAAGUAAGAGUAGGAGAUUUACAACUUUUAUAUGAUGCUAUUAGUAAAGUACCCACUUCACCUGUUACAUUAUUAGUUUCACAUUGGCUUAGUAUACCUAGUCUUCAGGGACCAGUAGGGUGUACUUCACUUAUCACUCGUCUAGCCACUAAUCUUCACUUACUAGAAAACUCAUCGUUGGACUUCAUAGAAGAAUUAAGAAUUUAUCAUGGCUAUGACACAUUUAGACAAGCUCGGAUGUUAAAGAAAGAGGAGAAUAUAAUGUAUAUGCUAUAUGAUGAUAAAGGCAAGAUUCGGUUACCUAACCCGAACCUUGGCCUCUACGUUGUUCAAAACUUUUUGAUUGAGAUUGCAGCAACACCAGUGAACCAGAGAACUCCACAGCGAGUGGCAUCUGAAAGGAUAACCACCCACCGAGAACGCACUUGGUAUGGAGCUGACCCUAGACCAGAAGAAGCAGCACACCUGCAUUAUUGCGAUUACAAUCCUCGAGUCCUUCGAGACCCAUGGGCUCGUCAUGCGCAACCACAAGAGCCAACAGAGGAGACAUGGCCGGAGAGCCAAGAUCACCAGUGGACAAACCCGCCUUUUCAUACGGGCAGGUACUCCACUGAUCCAUAUGGAGCUUCAGGAUCCAGACCUCCACCCCAAUUUGAUGUAGGACGAUACUCCGACGCCUCCUACGCCUUCACGAAUGACUACUAUCAAGAGGCCGGUGCUUUCUUCACUCGUACCGACAACACCCUCCUCGACAUCCAGAACACGCAAGCAGAACAUGGAAGACUCCUGGAAGAACAACAAAAAUGGAACCAGGACCAUGCCGCUGCAGUAGAAGAGCUGAGACAAGAUACAACAACAAUGAACGACAACAUCACAACCAUGAUGCGGUUCUGGAACAUCGGGUAAGACCGACGGCAACAUCCAGCUUGGGGGAGUUCCUCCCUAAAUUUAUCAAGUAAGUUUUUAUUUGCUCUUCUUAUUUAUUCUAUUCUGUCUUAGUAUUUAAUUUAUCUUAAAAGGAAAAACUUAGAAAACCGAAUAAAUAUUUUCUUGCUUUAAUUUACUGCACUUUAUAAACAUGAAAACAAAAUAAAAAGAGUGUGUAGAUAAGUGUGCUUUAUUUUUCUGCUAAGUUUAAUCUCUAGAAGAAAAAUAAUAAUAAGACCAAAAAUAUGCAUGAUGGAAAUGAUGAACAGUUGCUCUGUUUGCUUACUUACAAGUACCUAGCUUUUAUAUUAGAGUUCUUCCAGGAAUUACUAAAACUAAAAUCACUAUCUAUGGGAAGCAUAAAACUAAAGUCUAGGUAAGAGAAAGGCAUGAUAUAAAGUUGAGCCACUGUUUAUCUUAUUCCUACUACACUAAGUUCUGGAGAUUUAUUUUGAAAACUUACAAAUCACAUGAUGAGUUCCUAGCAUAACAAACUACCUACCACAGCCAUACUUGCUAUAACAUCUUUUACUAUAUUUACAUUGAGUUUGAUUGAGCUGUGUGGACCCUUAGGAGCUUUUCAUGUGGUUAAAUUAAGAUAUUCACUUGCACACAUCUACCACAGCAUCCAUCAUCAUUCAUUAAAAUUGCUAAAAAUAUUAUUACUCACUGUCUCAAGUACUGUUAUUCUCACUCUCUAAAAAAGAUUCAAUGCAGAAAGAGGCAUGGGUUAUGCAAAAAUAUACGAGGAAAUAAAAAGGGGCAAGUGCCCGGAACCUCGGAAAAGAAAGAAAAAGAGUGAGACGAGAGGUAAAAAUGGACAAGUGUCCGGAGUAGAAUUAGGGGUACAAAGAUGCCCACUUGAGCGGAAAAAAUGGACAAGUGUCCGACAGUAGAAUUAGGGGUAUCUACUACCCACCUGAAAAAAAAAGAGAGAAAAAGAUAGCCCAUGUUCUCCCAAAGCAAAGAUCAAAGAAGAGAAGAGAUAGCAAUAUAAGGAGCAAUGAGAAGUAAGUUUUAUUAUCACUUAUGCAUUUUCUCCAUCACAAUCAUUUACUCCAUCACACAUGCACGUCUUGAUUUAAUAAUAUGCUGAGUUCCUUUGGAUCCAUGGCUCGAUUAGACAACAUAUGUAUGAGCUGUUUUUCACUCCUAUGAGCUCCACUUAAAUAUUCCAUUAGCUAUAGGUAAGUGAUAUCAUGGUAAGGAUCCACAAAUACCACAUAUAGAGAGACUUGAGAGAAUCAUUGCUGGGAACUCUGAGUUUUCUUUUGAAAAAUUAUGAAAAACUCUAGAACAAAGGUGAAGUAUAGACAAGAGGGAUAGUGCUUGACUUAACUAUUUUGUCUUUCGAUUACUUAAGACUUAAGUGCAGGUACUAAACUUCAUAACACUUCACUUUAAUCUGGAAGAAUUUUUAUGUAAAAGCAUGUGUGCUUGUCAGGAAAGAAAACAUCGAAGCAACUUCUGAUUCGUCUAAGUUUAGCUGUUUGCUCAGGGACGAGCAAAAGGGUAAGCUUGGGGGAGUUUGUUGACGGUCCUUAAGUACUAAAAUUAAUAAUCAAAUAAACAUGAAAAAGGAUCAAUAUAAAACAAACAUCUAGAAUUAGGGUUUUAUGUGACAGAAUUCCACGAGUUUUGGUGUUUAUCUAUUUCUACAGGGUUUAUCAGAGAAUAUGGAGAGAAUUCCCACAUGUCAUGUUUACAACGAGAUAAUUACGUGCCGCGCAAUUUUCCUCCAUCUAGAAGGAUCCAGAAGCCACGGAAACGAACGGGAGGCGAUUCGGGCUCGGGGGCCGGGCGCCCGCCCACCCCCCUUGGGCGCCCGCCCAGGGUUGGAGGCCAAACAGGACUCUGCUUCGGGACAACGCUCCACCGACCUAAAGGAUCAAUCUAAACCAUACAAUCUAUGUCGGUUUGAUGCAAUGGCUCACGUUCACUUGAGGGGACUAUAAAACCAGACCCCCUGGCCCCUGGAGGAGAGAGAAGAAAUCAUUAUUCAGAGGUAGCCAUCAAAGUUAGGGUUUAGAGCUUCUCUCCCGCAGAGAAUUAGAAUUAGCUACUCCCUAGUCCUUCAAGUUUAGAGGUUGAUUAGAUAGCAAUUAGAGAAGUAGAGCACUACGCUCUGGAUUCGGAUCUUCGGUAAUAAAGAUUGGUAUUAUUCAUAUCUUUCUCUAAUUCUAUUGUUCUAAUUGCAUUAUGUCUCUAAUUAUUAUGCUCUUAGUUUGCUCUAGUUCUAUAUUUGAUAUAGUUCUAAUUGAUAAUGAGUUUAUGUAUAAGUUUGCAAAGCGCUUAGCUCUUGACGCGAGGGAGUUAGGUGAUAGAUCACAUGUGAGCGUGGUGCUUAGAUGUUAUUUAUCUGCAAUUGUAUCCUAUUGGCCGAGUCGUGUGGUAGUUCGUGAUAGUGACAGCUUCGUUGAUUCUUAUAUAGUCCACCCUCCGUUGAUAGGACAGGCAGAACCGGUAUUGUGGAGUAAGUCAUGCGAUGCUCUGAUUUACUUUAUCAAUGUUCCUUAUACAUGAAUGAAGAGUCUUUUAUGCUAUAUAUGAUCUUGUAGAUAACUAGAGUAGAUUAUGACUUAGUAGUUAGUAGAUAACUUAGAAUCCAUUCUCUAGCUAAUCCGACAUCACCUACAUAUAUGAGUAGUCUAUUUUCUAAUCGCUUUGUCAUCUACCCAUGAACUUAUACUUUAUUAUCAUUAUCUUUAUGGUUUACCCCCAGCUAAAGUAAGUGACUGUGUGACGAGUUUCUCAUUAGUAAUCAUGUUCUUGCAAGUUUAUCUCUAGUCUAUGCCUUGAUAGAUUUUGCCCCCUUUUAUUUUAAUUUCAUUUCCUUAGAUCCCUUGAGCAAAAUUAUAAAUAACGAUACCUGGAAUACUUAUUCUGGUGAAAUGCUACAAUGAGGUGUUUUAUCUGUGCGCUUGCGGAUAGAAUAGAUUAUUUUCUAGAGAGCCUUUACAUUUAUAAAUACCUUUGUACACUCUGGCGCCAUGCUAGGGACGACAACCUAGUAUCUAAGUGAUGUUAGCUAGUGUCAACAAAGAGCACCCAUCAUUUUAGGGAGGCCAUUCUUAAACACCUCGGGAGCUGUCAUCUACGCUAGCGCUGCCAAGAUCAGUUUCUACAUCAAAGGGAGGAAGGAGAUGUUUUUCUUCAGGAAUAAGACUACACAAAUCCCUGAUCAAUCUAGACGUGAAUCAAGGAAGAGGACCAACAGGAGGAACAGGAACAAGCAAGUGUGGACCGAAUCAACUAAGAUGGUCACUGCAGUUCAUGAAGGCCAAGAUCACCAACUUAAGUCACCAUUUUUGACCAAGAAGGACGACCCAGGAAUGCCAAGCAUCUAUUGCUCCAUAAAUGGAUACAACAUCUACAAGACGUUUUGCAACACCGGAUCGGGCGUCAACGUAAUGGCCGCAGUCACCUAUCGGCUCUUGUUCGGUACCAUGCCCCUAAGACCAACAUACAUUCAGCUCCAGAUGGCAGAUCAGACAUUUCGAGAAGUUAAAGGAACAGUAACUGAUGUCCCAGUCAAAAUAGACGAUCAUUUUGUCUACACAGACUUUCAGGUUAUUGACAUGGGAGAGGAUGAAUACGAUCCACCCAUCAUCCUUGGAAGACCGUUCAUAUGCACUUCCCCUCAGAGAAGGUACGCCGUUAUUUUAUUGACCCUGACUAUAUCGUUGAAAAAUCUAAGCAGGUAAGAAAGUGACGCAACCGCAACCUGAGGAGGCAAAUCAUCAAGGAUGGAUGGGCAGACUACGAAUGAGAAGUUGUAAGAUCAGAAGACGUAGAGUUUAAACAGAAUUAUCCAGAGGAGACCGUAGCACCGAGUCAGGUAUGGAAAGAGAAGAUAAUUAUACAUGAAGAGGAGGCGCUGUCGGAAGUACCGACAACGCCACCCAACGAAUCCCAGGACAAUUGAGAAAAUGGAUAGUCCCGUUCAGAGGACUUAAAAACACCGAACGCCUUGCCAAGAGGUAAACUUGGUAGUUAUCCUUUCCCUUUCAAUUAUUUAAACUAGUUUACUUAGUUAAUCAGGUUCAUACUAUCCUAAAAAGAAAAUAAAAAUGUGAAAAACAGUAAGCCCCAUGUGAGUAUACGAGUGGCAUAAAACCCAUAAGUACAUUCACUGUGGUAGCAUAAAAAUAAAAUAAAUAUUUCUUUUCUGCUUUAUAAAAUGAAAAUAUAAAAAAAAACAGGGAGUAAUAUUUAUUAAGGAGUUUCAACAUGAUAAAGGCUAGAUAUUUAUGCUAACACUUAAUCAGUUCCACAAGCUUUGUUGUCUAUUUGAGCUCCACAGAAUUUAAGAAUCAAGAAAACUAGCAGACGGAGGACAUUCUAAUCGCUGUUAGAAUGCUCCUGACUUUCAAAUACACCUCUGCCACCUGCUAGCUACAUCAAGAGAAAUUACAUCAAAAUUCAGCUUGAGGGAGAGCACCCCCAUUUAUCCCGAUAAGUAUUUCUAUCUAUCUUUAUACUUAUAUUAUAUUAGAAUAUAAAAUACAUAACCAUGAAAAACCAAAUAAAGAUUUUAUGCUUAUAUAUAUAUAUCUUUUGCUUAGUGUGUUUAAUAAAUAAAUAAGUGGCUAUGCUAAUCUGUAUCUAAAUAAUACUCUAGCAUGGAUAUGAUGAAUAGUUGCUCUGCCUAAUUUUAAAAUUUAAAGUUCUCUCCCAAGUUUAGACAUAACUGUUAUAAUUUAAAGCUUGCUCUAGACCUAAACUUGUGGGAUGAAAACUUGAUCUGAAGUCUAAGUUGUUAACGGAUAUGAUAUGGGAAGGUUGAGCUGCUGUUUAUCUGUUCCUAGAGAUGCUAGAAUUCUGGAGAAUUUUAUCUUUCAAAAUCUUUAAAAUCUACCACAGCCAUAUAUACAUGCUUGCUAGACUUUGAGCCACACAUUUACUAUUUACUGCUUAUGAGCAUUGAGUGUGGUCAAGCUGUGUAGACCCUUAGGAGCUGGUCAUGUGGUUAAAUGAAGAUUUCACUUGCACGUUCACUCAUACAUGCUACUUCUACUCCGGAAGUACCAUCCACAUAUAUCCACUCAUUUCCAUCUCCAGAACCACCCAAAAAUAUUCUACUCUUAAUCCGGGAGAGAAUAACCAAAAAUAUUUCUGUUUUUCCCCUGAGAAAUAAAUGCUCAAGUUAUCUUGUUACUACCACUUGCUAUAUUAUCUCAAGAGAUGAGUGCUCUAAAAAAAAGAAGAUACGAGGAAAUAAAAAGGAGCAAGUGCUCGGAACCUCGAAAGAAAAGAAAAAGUGAGACGAGAGGUAAAAAUGGACAAGUGUCCAACAGUAGAAUUAGAGGUACAAGAUACCCACCUAAGAUAAAAAGAAAAAAAAGAAGAGCAUCUCAUUCUCCUCAUAAAUUCAAAAAUCAAGGAAGGUAUGUAUCCCCUCAAAAGAGCAAAAGUAGAAUUAGACUUCCACCAUUGUUAUCACCAUCAUCACCAUACACCAUUCAUUCGCCACACAUGCACAUCUUGAUUAAACUUAUUGACUUGUUUCUUUGGAUCCAUGGUUUGGCUAUACAAUAGAUGCCUUGUAAGUAUGUAUACUUUAUCUCCCACCUAUGAGCUCCAGAUAUUAAAGCCUUAUUAGAGUAGGGUGAGAGAGAAGGCAAUGUCACUAUGCCCUAUACCACAUAUACUAUAUAAUUUUGAGAGAAGGCAUAUACCAUCACUGCCUUGGUAAGGAUCCAGAAAUACCACAAAAGAGAGAUAUGAGAGAGUCAUACAAGGAAUCUCUGAGUUUUAUUUAAAAAUCUGUAAAAACUCUAGAGCUAUAGCUGAUCAAGAAUAAGAGACAUGGCACUUGAUUAGACUGUUCUAUCUUUUAACUACUCAAGACAGAAGUGACGGUUACAAGUCCCAUGGUAAAGGUAAAGUAAGUAAGUUUUAAGAAUUGACAGUUUACUCUAACUCAGAGAUAAGAUUUUAUUUAAAAAGCAUGUGUACCGUUAAUUUUUAAGAUAUUGCAACAACUUAUGAUCCAUUGCUGAGUCUAUCCUUGCUCAGGGACGAGCAAGGGGUAAGCUCGGGGGAGUUUGAUGACGGUCCUUAAGUAUCAAAUUUAAUUAUCAAAUAAACAAAGAAAAGGAUCCAAAUGAAAUCAACAUCUAGACUUAGGGUUUUAUCUGACAGAAUUCCACGAGUUUUGGUGUUUGUCUAUUUCUGCAGGGGGUUAUCAGGAAAUACGGAAGAAAGGACCACACGUCGGGAUUACAUAGAGAUAUUGACAAGCCGCACAAUUAUCUUACAUCUAGAAGACUCUAGAAGCAACGAGACCGAAGCGGAGGCGAAACGGGGCCAGAGGCAGGGCGCCCGCCCUGUUCCCCUGGGCGCCCGCCCCCUCUGAGAGUCCAAUCAGGACUCUGUUUCUCGGGAGAUCUCCACCGAACUAAAGGAUCAAGGAUAACCAUUCAAUCUAUGUCGGUUUGAUCCAACGGCCCAUAUUCACUUGAAGGGACUAUAAAACCAAACCCCCUGGCCCCUGGAGGAGAGAGCCUCUCAACCCUAAUACAUUAUUCCUCAAGGGAGAAGAAGCCUCUGAUCAAGAUUAGAGCCACCACAUCAAUU
rnacentral:lncRNA from 1 species